CCUACGGGAGGCAGCAGUGGGGAAUUUUGGACAAUGGGGGCAACCCUGAUCCAGCGACGCCGCGUGUGUGAAGAAGGCCUGCGGGUUGUAAAGCACUUUCGUUGGGAACGAAAUAUGCCGACCUAAUACGUCGGUAGGCUGACGUUACCCAAAUAAGAAGCACCGGCUAACUCUGUGCCAGCAGCCGCGGUAAU
rnacentral:rRNA from 1 species